UACGAAGGGGGCUAGCGUUGCUCGGAAUCACUGGGCGUAAAGCGCACGUAGGCGGCUUUCUAAGUCAGGGGUGAAAUCCUGGAGCUCAACUCCAGAACUGCCUUUGAUACUGGAGAGCUCGAGUCCGGAAGAGGUGAGUGGAACUGUGAGUGUAGAGGUGAAAUUCGUAGAUAUUCGCAAGAACACCAGUGGCGAAGGCGGCUCACUGGUCCGGUACUGACGCUGAGGUGCGAAAGCGUGGGGAGCAAACAGG
rnacentral:rRNA from 1 species